GAAUAUGCUACUCAAGUAUUCGAUAACAACAACCUUAUUCAACACACACGCACGCACAAUUCACAAAACACCUUUUCUUUUCAUUCCGCAGAUAAUUGCACGAACAUUAACUCAUGAAUGGUGAGAGAACUCAUUUGCUAUGUUCAUUGUUCAGUCACAUUGAACUCUCUCUGCCAGUGCGUUGGUUUCUGAGCGUUCCAAUGAGAAAAGACUAAUCAAAGAAAUGGGGUUGCAUUUUUUCGUUUGUAAUGAAUGAUGUAUCCCAUUUUGGGUAAGUGCUAUUUGCUGGAAAUGAAUGCGGAAGCUGUCCUAACAAACUAAGGAGCUAACAUUCUCGGUUAUGAAGGUUAUUCAAAAAGGUUUCUCCAACCUGGGAGCCAACCUUAACAAAUACAGCAGGGUAUCCUAUUGGAGCUUCUACCCAUUCUUCACGUCCUUGUUUGGAAAACACUUUUCCUGUCCAGAUAUGGAUCCAACUGCUACUCU